CAAUGUGAGGGUAAUCUGGCUGCAACUUUUGUCAUCCCAUAGAUCACUGGGAUUGAUCCAGUUGACCUGAUUGGCUAUACAGGUGUUCCCUUCCUCCCUCACAGCUCCAUGUGUGUUCUGAAGCUUUGUGCUCCAUUCAAGAGGACGACCUUCCCAAUAGAGGAGGACGUUCUUCCAUCGAGAGUACACAGGUAACUGUGACCCCAGCCAGAACCUCCACCAGGCUCUCAAAUAUUGCUUCUAGAACUGGUUCCUGGGGAACUGGACAGAUAUUUAACGGCCAGAAAAGGUUAUCCAGGGGCACAGUAAGCAUGACUGCUGUGUUAAGUCACCU
rnacentral:snRNA from 1 species